rnacentral:rRNA from 1 species
AACGAACGCUGGCGGCAUGCCUAACACAUGCAAGUCGAACGAGACCUUCGGGUCUAGUGGCGCACGGGUGCGUAACGCGUGGGAACCUGCCCUUAGGUUCGGAAUAACUCCCCGAAAGGGGUGCUAAUACCGGAUAAUGUCUUCGGACCAAAGAUUUAUCGCCUUUGGAUGGGCCCGCGUUGGAUUAGCUAGUUGGUAGGGUAAAAGCCUAUCAAGGCGACGAUCCAUAGCUGGUCUGAGAGGAUGAUCAGCCACACUGGGACUGAGACACGGCCCAGACUCCUACGGGAGGCAGCAGUGGGGAAUAUUGGACAAUGGGCGAAAGCCUGAUCCAGCAAUGCCGCGUAAGUGAUGAAGGCCUUAGGGUUGUAAAGCUCUUUUACCCGGGAUGAUAAUGACAGUACCGGGAGAAUAAGCUCCGGCUAACUCCGUG